ACGGGGGUGCAGCAGGCGCGAAAACCUCCCGCAAUGCGAGAAAUUCGCGUACGGGGGAACCCCAAAGUGCCACUUCUUAACGGGGUGGCUUUUCUUAAGUGUAAAAAGCUUUUGGAAUAAGGGCUGGGCAAGACCGGUGCCAGCCGCCGCGGUAACACCGGCAGCUCUAGUGGUAGCCAUUUUUAUUUGGGCCUAAAGCGUUCGUAGCCGGUUUGAUAAGUCUCUGGUGAAAUCCUGUAGCUUAACUGUGGGAAUUGCUGGAGAUACUAUUAGACUUGAGGUCGGGAGAGGUUAGCGGUACUCCCAGGGUAGGGGUGAAAUCCUGUAAUCCUGGGAGGACCACCUGUGGCGAAGGCGGCUAACUGGAACGAACCUGACGGUGAGGGACGAAAGCCAGGGGCGCGAACCGGAUUAGAUACCCGGGUAGUCCUGGCCGUAAACGAUGUGGACUUGGUGUUGGAAUGGCUUUGAGUUGUUCCGGUGCCGAAGGGAAGCUGUUAAGUCCACCGCCUGGGAAGUACGGUCGCAAGAUUGAAACUUAAAGGAAUUGGCGGGGGAGCAC
rnacentral:rRNA from 1 species